GGGGCAGGGUCAGCUCAUAGCGUAUAUUAAGUUGUUGCGGUUAAAAGCUCGUAGUUGGAUUUCUGUCGGUGAGGUUCAGUCCGCCCAAGUGGUUGGUACGUGAUCCGCCACCGGCAUCUUCCUGGGGAAUGUGUCUGCUCUUAAUUGGGUGGUACAUAAGCCAGGACUUUUUACUUUUGAAAAGAAUGAAGAGAUGUUUCUAGCAGGGCAUGCGCCCGGUGAAUACGUUUAGCCAUGGGAAAAAUAGCAUCCGACCCUCUUUCCAAAGCCUGUUGUGUUUCUCUUGACACGAGGUAAAGUGUAAUAUAGGGAUUGGUUGGGGGGCAUUUCGUAUAUUGUACAUGUCACAGAGUGUAAAUCUCUGGGUAUUGUUGAAAACACGGAUUCCUGGGGAAAGCCUCUCUGCCAAAGAUGUUCCUCAUUGUAUCAAAAACGAAAAUUUAGUGUGUUCAAAACAAUCAGAAACCCUCUAUUCUUACCUAAAACAAGCCCCCCUAAAAAUCGGUUCUUUAUAUAUGAGACACCCUCUGGUCACUUUAGAGAAAACAAAAUCUCUUGGGUUUCCGGGGGAGUAUUGUCUCCCAAGCGUCAACUCAAGGGAUGUGCGAAGGGCCCCCGAGUAGAGCGCGCGGCUAUUUGCUCACCCCGGGAACAUCACGCGCACAUUUAGAUGUGAACGAGCUUCGAUUAUCGGUGGGCAGCGCUCAUGUGGAGAUGUCGGGGAUCUAAACAACAUCCGUAGAUCCACUCGAUGGAGCCUUAGACUCGCUACCGAGUGGCUACGCUGAGCUAGUCCGACACCUAUAAGGUCAGUAUCGAGUUCACUGGAGCUAGGUAUU
rnacentral:rRNA from 1 species